GCGCGCCCGGCAAACGGGAGUCGGGCGGGCGGGGCCGGGGGCGGGGCCGCCGUUCCCUCAGCCGGGUUGGGAGGUGCGAGGCCGAGUCUUGAGCUGCGGGAGGUGGAACUGCGCACCCUGUGCCCGCUUCUUGUACCGACAGCGGGAGACGACGCUGCGAUUGCUUUCUCUGCUUCUGUGGCUUCAGGUGCGGCUCCUGGUGUGCUCACGUGGCAGUGCAUGUGUUGGCAGCAGCGGCCCUGCUACUCACCACACAGUGCCUGGGCAGCUCCACGCACUUUCAGAUGUGGCCUUGGUUCUUCAAAAACUGCUUCUUGGAAGGGAGAGAUCCAAUUGAAGAGGGGUUUAAUAGCUGCAAAAGGUGGUGCUGAUCUUAAGGAAGAGUUUCUAACUUGAUGAAGUGAGGUAGCAGGGCUCCUGUUGUUGCAGGAAUUCUUUGGGAAGGACAUAACAUACAAAUUUCAGGCGCACCCCCCUACAUCAGUGAUUUUAUGCUUUUUGCUAUGGGGAUCUCCUCUCAAGGGAUGUAGUCUUUCUGCCUGAGUGCUCAGGACCAGCCUGGAGCAUAAGGAUACAAAGACCAUGAUAGGACAAGGGGGAACGGCUUUAAACUAAAAAGAAGAGAUUUAGAUUAGGGAUUAGGCAAAAAUUCUUCACUCAGAGGGCGGUGAGACCCUGGCAAAGGCUGCCCAGAGAAGCUGUGCUGUCCCAUCCCUGGAGGUGCUCAGGGCCAGGUGGAUGGGGCCCUGGGCAGUCUGAGCUGGUGGGGGGCAGUGUGAGUGCAGCAACUGAAGCACUAGUGACGGUCAGGCGGGUUACCCAGGCAGUAGGUGAAGUGGGCUGCUGCUAGGGAUGUCUGUAAGGAUGAGGCCUUGGUGGGAGAGGGAAAGGCCUCUGACAGCAGCUACCACAGGGCUGUGGCCUUGUGGGUAUGUAUAUGUAGCUGGCAUCAACUGGGGGGACUGGGAUGGACAUGGAAGUGCAGAUGAAGCACAGGUGUGUAACUGAGUUCCUCCGUGUGGAAAAAAUGGCAUCUAAUUCAUCAACACUUGCUGAACAUUGAUGGAUACCAGCCAAUGGAUGUGAGCACAGUGAGGCGGUGGGUGGUGUGUUUCAGCAGUGGUGACAGUGGGUCACCUUUGCUGGUGCAAAUAGUUAUGAGCACGGCAUGCAGGCUUUAGUUCAUUGCUUGCAAAAAUGCAUAGCUGAUGGUGGUGACUGUAUUGAAAAAAAAAAAAUGUUUUAUAGCUGAGAAUUUCUUCUAUCAAAUAGUGUUAUUGUGGUGUUUGUAUCUCUUGUAGUUUCCAUGGAAAUAAAUGGGAGGCAUUACUUUUGGAGUGAUCUAUACGUGUAUCAGCUAAUCUGUGAGAAAGCAUGUGUUAGAAUUACGUAUAUAUAAAAGGAGUAUUCGUGGAUUUCGCCGUAUUUCCUCAUAAGUGUUUUGAGAGAACCUGAAGGAUUGCUUCCUUUAUUGUUUUCUGAUCUUAGUAGGAUUUAAAAGCUUUUCUCUCUUUGACAUUGAUAGCAAGGGGGAAGACAAGCAUCUACAAGCUCCCAUCUUUAAUGACAUCAGAAUGGUAUGUCCAGUUUCUUAUGUAACUGAUUCAUCAUCAGAACAUGUCAGUGUUUGCUGCUACUGCUGCUUUUCAUUUAAACUGCAGGUCUGGAAGUGCACUGAUUAAGCUAAAAGCUUCAUUUCCCAAAAAACUUGAGGCAAGGGGAGAAUGCAUAAGUAACAGGGAGCCCAUCUGUUUUCAAAAUAGUUUUUUAUCUUCUCUGUAUUUUUUUCUGCAGAAACAUUUUAUUUUGUUAACAGUAUGGCAAUAAUUUGUCUGGGAAGCAGUCCCUGAAAAGAAUGAUUCUGGAAGAAGUAGAUCCUGGAAGGCCACAGAGGCUGAAUGGGGAACAGAAACACAGACUAAGAAGUAAAGGACCAGAGUUGGGGAUCAGAGAUACUGCUGUGGAGAGGAAGUAGUCAGGACAAGGAUAAAGAAAUGUUGAGAUUGAAGGAGUCUAUCCAGAUGAUAUGUUGUGAAACCUCAUCUGUUCAUAAUGAGGUACUUAAAGGCAAACGUCUUCAGUCAGUGGAGCUGGAUAACUUGCAUUUAAGAAAUUAAGAGAAGCGCUGAAGAAUUCUUAGGACUGAUAACAUUGGGCACUAGAAAAGUGCCCAACUACUAUCAAGCUGGUAGUUAAAAACAGCUGGGAUGAGCUGGGUCAAGAACCUGUUGGCCUGACUUCAAUCCAGAAUCAGAACACCUAAUACAUGCUUCUGUCACCAAGUAAAGAAUUAAAGGAGAGAAAUGUAAUUAACUAUUACAUUUUCAAAUAGCUUAAUGGAAAUCAAUGCUAGGCUUGCAGCCAGCUCUUGGCUGCCCUGUUACUCAGGAGCUGCCUCAUUAGAGGGAUGGUCAGGUCGAGAGAAGGCUCCAGCUCCAAAAGGUGACAGAACUAACAGCAUAGCUGUUAGGAGAUCACAUUCAUAAAACUAAGAGUAACACUGCUAACUGGGGAUGCCUGAUGUACCCAUGAUUAAAAAUCAAGAUCCAGGAAGUACUUGAUGAUUGCCCCCAUCUUCAAAUAAAAGCUCCAAAACACCUGUGUCAGUGGCUGCCCGGGCCUGAAAGCGCUGUCAUCUUUUUAAGUGUCUUGGAAAGGGCUGGUCUUAGAGAUUUGGUAAUGGGUGUGUUCCUCACUGCUAAGAUGCAUUCUCACAGUCUGAAUUUGAAACUGGUACUAAAACAGCAGUUGUGACUAUUGCUGCCCUUUACUAGAGCAACACAGUUGUCAGAAGAGUGUGUGGGUAGUGGCAAUCCAGCCCCACAGGCUGCAGGGAUGGGGAGAGCAGCCUGGCACCACCCUAGGGCUCCUAUGCUGCCUCCCCAAUGUGUAGUGCUGCUCUGGGCACAGUGAAGAGCCAAGUGCCAGGAAGAGGCAAAUCAACAAGAUGGAUGGCUGUAAUCCACUGACCAGACCAUUGAGGAAGUACUUGGCUUCCCAGAUGUGUAGGUGUUACGCAGAGCAGCAGAUGAAAGCACCAGAAGUACUCCCAAGAGCAGGCAUUAACAUCACUGCUUGAAAAGAAUUCUUGCAUUUGUCCCUCCUCUGAAACAAGACUUGUAUGGUGGAUGUGGAAAUGAAGAUGUUCUUCACAUUUGCUAGUUCAAGGAGGACCCCUUUGGACUCAGUAUUUGGGCUGAGUUGCCGAGUCUCUGUAAAGAGCGCAGGUAAAGCCUGGAGGUAGCUUUGUUGCAGGGGUACAUAUGUGUGUAUUUGAAUUGCACCCUGCAGAGAAAGUACCAACGUUUUCUCUGCAGCAUCUGUGUUAUAACACCCAUUGGCUUUAUUAUCUUCCAAACAAAAAACAACCCCUUCACACUUUUUAGUCUUCC